rnacentral:rRNA from 1 species
UUAAGCGACUAAGCGUACACGGUGGAUGCCCUGGCAGUCAGAGGCGAUGAAGGACGUGCUAAUCUGCGAUAAGCGUCGGUAAGGUGAUAUGAACCGUUAUAACCGGCGAUUUCCGAAUGGGGAAACCCAGUGUGUUUCGACACACUAUCAUUAACUGAAUCCAUAGGUUAAUGAGGCGAACCGGGGGAACUGAAACAUCUAAGUACCCCGAGGAAAAGAAAUCAACCGAGAUUCCCCCAGUAGCGGCGAGCGAACGGGGAGCAGCCCAGAGCCUGAAUCAGUGUGUGUGUUAGUGGAAGCGUCUGGAAAGGCGCGCGAUACAGGGUGACAGCCCCGUACACAAAAAUGCACAUGCUGUGAGCUCGAUGAGUAGGGCGGGACACGUGGUAUCCUGUCUGAAUAUGGGGGGACCAUCCUCCAAGGCUAAAUACUCCUGACUGACCGAUAGUGAACCAGCACCGUGAGGGAAAGGCGAAAAGAACCCCGGCGAGGGGAGUGAAAAAGAACCUGAAACCGUGUACGUACAAGCAGUGGGAGCCUCUUUAUGGGGUGACUGCGUACCUUUUGUAUAAUGGGUCAGCGACUUAUAUUCUGUAGCAAGGUUAACCGAAUAGGGGAGCCGAAGGGAAACCGAGUCUUAACUGGGCGUUAAGUUGCAGGGUAUAGACCCGAAACCCGGUGAUCUAGCCAUGGGCAGGUUGAAGGUUGGGUAACACUAACUGGAGGACCGAACCGACUAAUGUUGAAAAAUUAGCGGAUGACUUGUGGCUGGGGGUGAAAGGCCAAUCAAACCGGGAGAUAGCUGGUUCUCCCCGAAAGCUAUUUAGGUAGCGCCUCGUGAAUUCAUCUCCGGGGGUAGAGCACUGUUUCGGCAAGGGGGUCAUCCCGACUUACCAACCCGAUGCAAACUGCGAAUACCGGAGAAUGUUAUCACGGGAGACACACGGCGGGUGCUAACGUCCGUCGUGAAGAGGGAAACAACCCAGACCGCCAGCUAAGGUCCCAAAGUCAUGGUUAAGUGGGAAACGAUGUGGGAAGGCCCAGACAGCCAGGAUGUUGGCUUAGAAGCAGCCAUCAUUUAAAGAAAGCGUAAUAGCUCACUGGUCGAGUCGGCCUGCGCGGAAGAUGUAACGGGGCUAAACCAUGCACCGAAGCUGCGGCAGCGACGCUUAUGCGUUGUUGGGUAGGGGAGCGUUCUGUAAGCCUGUGAAGGUGUGCUGUGAGGCAUGCUGGAGGUAUCAGAAGUGCGAAUGCUGACAUAAGUAACGAUAAAGCGGGUGAAAAGCCCGCUCGCCGGAAGACCAAGGGUUCCUGUCCAACGUUAAUCGGGGCAGGGUGAGUCGACCCCUAAGGCGAGGCCGAAAGGCGUAGUCGAUGGGAAACAGGUUAAUAUUCCUGUACUUGGUGUUACUGCGAAGGGGGGACGGAGAAGGCUAUGUUGGCCGGGCGACGGUUGUCCCGGUUUAAGCGUGUAGGCUGAUUUUCCAGGCAAAUCCGGAAAAUCAAGGCUGAGGCGUGAUGACGAGGCACUACGGUGCUGAAGCAACAAAUGCCCUGCUUCCAGGAAAAGCCUCUAAGCAUCAGGUAACAUCAAAUCGUACCCCAAACCGACACAGGUGGUCAGGUAGAGAAUACCAAGGCGCUUGAGAGAACUCGGGUGAAGGAACUAGGCAAAAUGGUGCCGUAACUUCGGGAGAAGGCACGCUGAUAUGUAGGUGAAGUCCCUCGCGGAUGGAGCUGAAAUCAGUCGAAGAUACCAGCUGGCUGCAACUGUUUAUUAAAAACACAGCACUGUGCAAACACGAAAGUGGACGUAUACGGUGUGACGCCUGCCCGGUGCCGGAAGGUUAAUUGAUGGGGUCAGCGCAAGCGAAGCUCUUGAUCGAAGCCCCGGUAAACGGCGGCCGUAACUAUAACGGUCCUAAGGUAGCGAAAUUCCUUGUCGGGUAAGUUCCGACCUGCACGAAUGGCGUAAUGAUGGCCAGGCUGUCUCCACCCGAGACUCAGUGAAAUUGAACUCGCUGUGAAGAUGCAGUGUACCCGCGGCAAGACGGAAAGACCCCGUGAACCUUUACUAUAGCUUGACACUGAACAUUGAGCCUUGAUGUGUAGGAUAGGUGGGAGGCUUUGAAGUGUGGACGCCAGUCUGCAUGGAGCCGGCCUUGAAAUACCACCCUUUAAUGUUUGAUGUUCUAACGUGGACCCGUAAUCCGGGUUGCGGACAGUGUCUGGUGGGUAGUUUGACUGGGGCGGUCUCCUCCUAAAGAGUAACGGAGGAGCACGAAGGUUGGCUAAUCCUGGUCGGACAUCAGGAGGUUAGUGCAAUGGCAUAAGCCAGCUUGACUGCGAGCGUGACGGCGCGAGCAGGUGCGAAAGCAGGUCAUAGUGAUCCGGUGGUUCUGAAUGGAAGGGCCAUCGCUCAACGGAUAAAAGGUACUCCGGGGAUAACAGGCUGAUACCGCCCAAGAGUUCAUAUCGACGGCGGUGUUUGGCACCUCGAUGUCGGCUCAUCACAUCCUGGGGCUGAAGUAGGUCCCAAGGGUAUGGCUGUUCGCCAUUUAAAGUGGUACGCGAGCUGGGUUUAGAACGUCGUGAGACAGUUCGGUCCCUAUCUGCCGUGGGCGCUGGAGAACUGAGGGGGGCUGCUCCUAGUACGAGAGGACCGGAGUGGACGCAUCACUGGUGUUCGGGUUGUCAUGCCAAUGGCACUGCCCGGUAGCUAAAUGCGGAAGAGAUAAGUGCUGAAAGCAUCUAAGCACGAAACUUGCCCCGAGAUGAGUUCUCCCUGACCCUUUAAGGGUCCUGAAGGAACGUUGAAGACGACGACGUUGAUAGGCCGGGUGUGUAAGCGCAGCGAUGCGUUGAGCUAACCGGUACUAAUGAACCGUGAGGCUUAACCUU